ACGGAAGGCAGCAGUGGGGAAUAUUGCACAAUGGGCGAAAGCCUGAUGCAGCGACGCCACGUGAGUGAAGAAGUAUCUCGGUAUGUAAAGCUCUAUCAGCAGGGAAGAAAAUGACGGUACCUGACUAAGAAGCCCCGGCUAACUACGUGCCAGCAGCCGCGGUAAUACGUAGGGGGCAAGCGUUAUCCGGAUUUACUGGGUGUAAAGGGAGCGUAGACGGUUUGGCAAGUCUGAAGUGAAAUGCGGGGGCUCAACUCCUGAACUGCUUUGGAAACUGUCGAACUAGAGUGCAGGAGAGGUAAGUGGAAUUCCUAGUGUAGCGGUGAAAUGCGUAGAUAUUAGGAGGAACACCAGUGGCGAAGGCGGCUUACUGGACUGUAACUGACGUUGAGGCUCGAAAGCGUGGGGAGCAAACAGGAUUAGAUACCCUGGUA
rnacentral:rRNA from 1 species